rnacentral:lncRNA from 1 species
GCUUCCCCGCCCGGCCGCCGCCAUGAUGAGGAGGUCGGCGCGGCUGUGCUGCGGGCAGGCAGCGGAGAGGGCUCGCGGCGAGGGCUCCAGCUUACCCCGCCGCCGCGUCGCGUGCACGGAGCGCUUCAGAGGUUUGGAGGGGGCCGGAACCUCAAAAGCAACUGGAUGAGCACAACGCGGACGCCCCGGAGAAGCGGCGCAAGCGGGCCCAAAAUGGUUGCUGAUCAGACGAGUGGCAUCUCUCGCCCCCCUACCGCGGGAAUUGGGACCUCCAGACUGUGCCUGGGGGAUCGGCAAGUGGUUCCCCUCUGGUUUUUUCGGCGCUGCCUUCCCGGUGGUAUCCUCACUCUCUCUCUUUGAAAUGACCUCUGCUUUCCUAUCUCUAACUCUUCCCAGAUAUUUGAAAGCAAGUUUUUGUACAAAGCA